UGUGACGCCCGGCCGGGGCCUGCAGUAUUCUCGAUCGGGCGCGUCACACU
rnacentral:misc_RNA from 1 species